GGCGAACGCUGGCGGCGUGCUUAACACAUGCAAGUCGAGCGGUAAGGCCCUUUCGGGGUACGACGAGCGGCGAACGGGUGAGUAACACGUGGGUGACCUGCCCUCAGCUCUGGGAUAAGCCUGGGAAACCGGGUCUAAUACUGGGUAUGACUCCAUGACGCAUGUUGUGGGGUGGAAAGCCUUGUGCGGCUGAGGAUGGGCCCGCGGCCUAUCAGCUUGUUGGUGGGGUGAGGCCUACCAAGGCGACGACGGGUAGCCGGCCUGAGAGGGCGACCGGCCACACUGGGACUGAGACACGGCCCA
rnacentral:rRNA from 1 species